UUAAACUGCACCAACUAUCCACCAAGAGCAGACUCAAGAUUUGCUCAGUAAACAAGGUUUUGGAGGUAAUGGAUAGAGCUGCCGGACCACACAAUGGCAUUAAAAUCGGAGACUUUGCUACUCUUGAGAAAAGAUUUGCCAUAUCGUUCAUCCUAGAGAACAUAUCAAUUUAUAUGCUAUUAAUUUGCAACAUUGGACCUUCUUUGAAGUCUUCGAAUAAUUCAGCUUAAAAAUUGAAGUCGAAUCAACAUGCAUCAACAAGCGGUGUG